rnacentral:tRNA from 1 species
GACUCCAAAGCCCAAUGGAUAAGGUGCUGGUCUAUGAAACCAGAGAUUUUAGGUUCGAUCCCCAGUUGAGUCG